CAGCAUCUUUCCAGCUCCGCUGCUGACGCCACCCUGGCCACCUGAGAUCACCGCAAGUUCUCCUUGUCUUCCAGAACUCCAGCCACACCACCCGGUCCUAUGCCGCACGCAGACCUGAAGAGCGUGUGGUCUACUCUUCCUACAGGGACUAAUAUGUCUGAAGAAAUGCUGUUUGGAUAAUCAUUGUUCCUGUUCAUCACAUGCAUUGAGAACCAUGCUGAGACUACCACGGAAUACAGCCUGCGUUACAACAGUGUGCGUCUACUGCUCACAGAGCUGUCUCUGACCGUCGCCCCUUUGUCAGACGUGAGUGACUGCACCUAAAUGGACCGGCUGAAAAAUAGGAGGGGCCCCACUGUCAGCACUGAUAGGGGCUGCAAAGCCUCACAGCUGCCGCUCCUGGGGUCCCUUCCUGCUCUGAAAUCUGCAGCAGUUCCAUCUGGCAGAGUUUUCAAAGUUCUUCCCUGUUUCUUCAUCUUCCGGGUAAGAGGAUUCACAGCAGUGCUCAGAGGGGCACAGAAAGAGGGGUGAUGAGUCUGGAGACGUGGGUUCCUGAUUUAGUCCCACCACCGUGUACCCCUAAUUGAACACCACUUACUCUUCUGGUCCCCCAAUUUCCCGAUCUAUAGAUGGGAAUAAUGCUAGUGCCCUACAGUAUCCCAGAGGAAUGUCACGAGGAGAAAAUGAAGGGCGGCAUGAAAGUAUCUUGACAAAUACAAGCACAAGUCUCUUUCAAAAGCAACAUCCAGUGCAGAAUAUCAGCUCCUUUCUUGCAUCACCAAUGGAGACAAAGAAAAAAACUCCACUGUCAUUUCAAAAGGUAGUUCCAACUACGUCAAGGACACUCAAGACUAUGUUAAUAUUAGCUCUCCUGGCAUAGUCUUCAAACCAUCAUUUGAUAUCUACUUUAAACGUAUAAAUAUGAAUGGCAGGUUACAAAAAAAAAAUCAGGACUAAGACCAAGAGAAGAAAUAAAAGAGACUCUGCGAAUAUAUACAUGUCUCAAUUUUGGGGUAUGUUACUAACAAACCACCAAAAAGCAGUCACAUUUGUAAGACGUAUCAUCCCCUCUUUCUCUGUCUCCUCUCUCUUUCUGAUUUCUCUACGGAUUUUCCAAACUUUGCAGAGGCUCUUUUUGCAUAUUAAACUGAAGUCAGCUUCAAACACAAGCACAAACAACCCUGCUAAAAACAUUUUGUUCAAUGAAGGAUGAACUAUAUGACUCACCACAUUAUUAUUUUUGCAAAAAGCUAUUAUGUAAAUAUACAGGCUUAUAUGAGCUUAAAUAGUCCGAGGCAAGGAUGCAAAGAAAGGAAAUACAUACACAUCUACCGAAGCAAUGCUCACGGCGGCCUGGUUUUAACAGACAAUUGCACACCCUCACUUAAAGGGCAAAGAAGAAACCAUAUGUCUAUUUUAGUGACUCCAUCCCGAAACGGUGUACUUAUUCCU